GAAUUGGAGUUUUAGCAAUACAAGGAGGAAGAAGUAAGCUGGAAUUAAUGGUGCGUCUUUGGAAAGGCCAUUAUAGUUGGACAUUUAACUAUACAAAAGAGGAGGAACAAAGAUAGUGCUGUUGAAUAUUGCAGUGAAAAUUUCAAUUAUGGAGUUCGGAGAUUUGAAUGCAUUAGCAAAAAAAGUUUAGGGGUUUCAAGUUAAGAGUUCAUAAGAAAGCUUCCAGAUUUGGUGCUCAAUUCAUGUCAUAGGCUUCAAUUUUAAGCAAUCAAAUGAUUGUUCAGAUUUCAGAAUGAAGUUGCUAAUCGCACGGCCAAAACUGUUACUACUGGAUUCACAAAUUUACAACUGUUAGAAGAACUUCCAACAUCAGUAUAGGAUUUUUUGCUGGCUAAUCGCAAUCAUGCUUUUACGCUGCUUUAAUUUUAUAUUUUAUGUUGUAAUCAUUUAAUACUGUUUUUAUCUUAAAAAAAUUGAUAUUCGAGAUUUAAUUAUAUCGUAUCUCCAUUUUGACUGAUUUUUCCUUCAAUGAUUAUUAU